rnacentral:rRNA from 1 species
CUCAAACANAGGGAAGCAACAUCGCGAGGUGAAGCAAAUCCCAAAAAAAGUAGUCUCAGUUCAGAUUGUAGGCUGCAACUCGCCUACAUGAAGUCGGAAUUGCUAGUAAUCGCGGAUCAGCAUGCCGCGGUGAAUACGUUCCCGGGCCUUGUACACACCGCCCGUCACACCAUGAGAGCCGGUAACACCCGAAGUCAGUAGCCUAACCGCAAGGGGGGCGCUGCCGAAGGUGGGAUUGGUAAUUGGGGUGAAGUCGUAACAAGGUAAC